CCUGGGGAUAACAGGCUUAUCUCCCCCAAGAGUCCACAUCGACGGGGAGGUUUGGCACCUCGAUGUCGGCGCAUCACAUCCUGGGGCUGUAGUAGGUCCCAAGGGUUGGGCUGUUCGCCCAUUAAAGUGGUACGCGAGCUGGGUUCAGAACGUCGUGAGACAGUUCGGUCCCUAUCCGUCGCAGGCGUAGGAAAUUUGAGAAGACCUGUCCUUAGUACGAGAGGACCGGGAUGGACGUACCUCUGGUGUACCAGUUGUCCUGCCAAGGGCAUGGCUGGGUAGCUAUGUACGGAAUGGAUAAGCGCUGAAAGCAUCUAAGCGCGAAGCCAACUUCAAGAUAAGAUUUCCCACCG
rnacentral:rRNA from 1 species